ensembl:lncRNA LINC02380 long intergenic non-protein coding RNA 2380
AGUGCGAUUGGCAUUAGACAGAGAAGAGAAAAAUGGCAGUAUGAUCCUCUAGAAAUGCAGCAAUUGGAAUGAAAAAGGAGCAUGGGCUGGCGUAACCCGGGAGAGAAAAUGACUUGUAAUGGCAUAGCAACCUACUUCUCUUCCUGCAAAUGGCUGGGGAAAAAGUGUGCUUCCUGGCAGAUAGGCUACAAUCUACUGUUAUUUAUCUGGCUAUUUCCAGCAAGUUCUCUUCUUAUCCUAGAUAGCUUAUCUCUUCAAAGGAGUCUGUCCAAGGUGAACUCACCAUGGGCCAAGAGGUCCUGCCUCUGGGACUGCACAUCUGAUUAACAUGUUGGGGCUUAGGGGUGGGAAGGGCACAGUUUACUUAGAUAUAUCUUGCUAGGUUUAAAUUUUCUUUCUGGAUACAAAUAUUUUUUACUGUUAUUAAAAAAACCCCAUGACUUCAAUUUCACAAUUUUUGUAGUUAUUUCAUGUAUUUUAAUAGGGCAAUUGGGUUUCUGAUAAUUAUAGUCUAUUUUUCCUUUGGAAGUUGUCAUGGGAGGGGUUGAUGCCCCACACCCUCUUGUCCUUUGCAACCAGGUCUACUUGCACACUUUUAUGCAGGCUGCAGCAGCCUUGUGCAUGAGUUGAUCCCUCUGGUGCCCGACUUGCCAGCCCUCUCCCAUACAGAGAGAGGAAAAAGUCUGAAGACACACAUAUUUCCCAAAUUCAAUAUCUUGAGUAGCUGAAUCAUGCCCAGCUCAGAUGAAUCAGGGUAUUUAAGAUGGCGCAGUGCUCCCGCUGUUCCGAGGCUCAGCUACCCUGAGGGAGGCAGGGAAUUUUGAUCAGCUUCUGAAGAAUCACCUCAUCUCUCCCCGCAGAGAGCACAGAGCACAGGACUUCACGUUAUGUCAACAUCUCUUGCAAAAGCCCAGCUCCUAGAGAGCAGGAGCCUUCCCAGACUGUGUCAAAUUACCUCGGGGAUGGAGAGACUUACAUGGCAUUAAUAGAAAUCAAAUGGCAGAGCUCGGGUUUCUGAUGAGUCUCCUGAGGUUCAGAAGGGUGAGAUGACACAUUCAAGGUCACAUGGCUCAUUUGUGUUGGAGUCAGAAGUUUCCAGAUUUCUUGACUUUUAGUCCAAGGAGCAGUCCCUGUGCAUGUGUCAGAGUUGAACAAGCCAGGAAACAUAGAAAUACGCUGUAAGAAAUAAUCCCAAAAUUGACGUGAUGGAUUAAAGAUGAAAAAACAUGCCUUGGAAUACCUAAUGGGAACAUUAGUCUAUCUCUACACCCAGAUCAACAUGACUGAAUAUAGCUUUCUUAAAAAAGCAGUUGAAUUCAGCAAGGCAAUUAUUCUAUUGCUCAAUAAGACUUAAUAUUUGGAUUGAUUGAAUUUCCUUUGCUUUUUAUUUUGGAGUCUAUGUUCAUAGCCUCAAUAUAAGAGUGAAAAUUUUCACACAGAAACAAUACAUAAUCCAAUAAAGAGCCAGAUACAAG